rfam:Oryza rufipogon genomic scaffold, chr12
AAUAUAUGACGCCAUUGAUUUUUUAUUCAACGUUUGACUAUUCGUCUUAUUCACAAAAUUUAUGUAAUUAUUAUUUAUUUUAUUAUGACUUGAUUCGUUAUCAAAUGUUCUUUAAGUAUGACAUAAAUAUUUUUAUAUUUACACAAUAAUUUUAAAUAAAACGAAUAGUCAAACGUUGGUCGAAAAGUCAACGGCGUCGUAGGG